GUGAUGCCAGCCUGGCUGGGUGGCCGGACUUCAACCCCGUAGCUUUCGAGCGG
rnacentral:tRNA from 14 species